rnacentral:rRNA from 1 species
AGGCAUGUGCACGCCCUGCUCAUCCACUCUACACCUGUGCACUUACUGUAGGUUUGGCGUGGGCUUCGAGGGCCUUCACGGGCUUUUGAGGCAUUCUGCCUGCCUAUGUAUCACUACAAACACUAUAAAGUAACAGAAUGUAAUCGCGUCUAACGCAUCUUAAUACAACUUUCAGCAACGGAUCUCUUGGCUCUCGCAUCGAUGAAGAACGCAGCGAAAUGCGAUAAGUAAUGUGAAUUGCAGAAUUCAGUGAAUCAUCGAAUCUUUGAACGCACCUUGCGCUCCUUGGUAUUCCGAGGAGCAUGCCUGUUUGAGUGUCAUGGUAUUCUCAACCCACACAUCCUUGUGAUGCUUGUGAGGCUUGGACUUGGAGGCUUGCUGGCCCGUCGCGGUCGGCUCCUCUUGAAUGCAUUAGCUUGGUUCCUUGCGGAUCGGCUCUCAGUGUGAUAAUUGUCUACGCUGUGACCGUGAAGCGUUUGGCGAGCUUCUAACCGUCCUGCUAGGGACAACUUACUUGACAUCUGACCUCAAAUCAGGUAG